GUUAGAUAGCACUUGUAGUCUUUUCAAAGACCUGCAAGACUGAAAAGAUUCCAGCUUGUUGAACGGGGAGUAAUUGGUGCCACUCAUCCUCCUCCUUCUUACAAAUGUCGCCACUUCCCUUAUGUGCAGGAACAGGAAACAGAAGAGGUGCAGGGGCGUGGCAGUGCAGGGCAGAGCCCCUGAGGAGAGGAACUGGCAUUUUGUGCAUUACUCCCAUCUGCUGGUUGGCCACAAGCCCUCUGUGGAGUCCAAGGGACCUGUGAAACCACCUGAGCAGUCCCAAGGCUGUCUUCCAUAUUUGGAAGGGAAGAGGUUGAGCAAUACCAUCGAACAUGAGGCUGCUUCUCCCGAUGCAGCAGAGAUUGAAAUGUCACAGCAGCAUGAUCAAUUAGAUGAUGGAGAAUAGAGGCAUUUGCUACCUGACCUUAAUCCACCGGGCCAGAGGGACUGCAUGGAGAAGACUGAAUGUGGAGAGACUCCCAGGCAGAGGAAAGCGGCAGAGGAGAGUUCAAACGGGUGUCGAGCCGCUUAAAUGUUGACUCAUGACGAAAAGGAUAUCCUCAGGAUAAAGGCUUAUGAUGACACGUAUUGGUUCACUCAUUCAGUUCUGAGUGAGGACAAAAUAAACAUAAGCACCUUUUAACAGCAGCAAAAAAAAAAAAAAAAAAAAAAGGUAGAAAAGGAAGCAGGUAAGUUUUUGCAAAAAGUCUGGAUUUUGGAUCAUGUAACCUGCUGAACUGAAGUGACAGGGAGAAAGACGCCAAUGACAUGCAGCUGUCAGAUGCUGUACGAAGAAGACAGUGGGAGAUGUGACUAAGGCACCAGGAGAGCUGUCUUUCUCUCUUUAAAGCCCUGUCCUGGGAAGGAGGGUUAGACACCUUGGGAUGGGAAUGACAGACAGGAGGGGUGUGACUUACUCGAAGGAAUGGCUCCCCAGUAUUUGGAACUUGACAACGGUCUCUGGAGCCACCCUGACCGGCUUCCCUGGGGCUGCUUCAGCGGAUAAACACGGUGGUAGUAGAGGGAUUCUUGCGUUAAACUAGAUGACUUCAAUCACUCCCUAAUAUGCCUGCCCUGGAGCUUCAUACCCUCCUUGGAGAGGUCUAAGAUGGCCCUGAGGCUUGUUGAGGAGCAGAACUAAAUGAACUUCGGAGCUGCUUAGGCUUUGAUAGAAUCAGUCCUUCUCGGCAGCAUGUGUGCGCAUCACCGUGGGCCUGGGAAUGGUUGCGAGUCUAUUUUGAUUAUGGACAGCUGGUGUUCGCUAAGGGCUUUAUCGGAUUAGUCAUCCGCAGUAACAAUGAUAUGAAGCCUUUCCCCUGGAUGAUUAGUCGAGAUCUGUUAUGUUUACUCUUUCAGUUUUAUACUUAUUUUUCUUUUCCGUUUAAGGACAACUCAAUGUAAAAGGGUGUUGUGGUUGGGAAUCUGUUUUCCCAAAAAAAGCCACUAUUUUUUCCUAGGAUCCAUUUGGUUGUUUCUAUUUGUGGAGUUCCAUUGCGAGACAGCAGUUUAUCAUAGCUGUGGAAAACCAGCAGGAGGUUCAGAGGAAAGCCAUGGAAACGAUGAAGACCAGGAAAAUGAAAUGCAAACAUGUAUCCUGGGGAGGUGAGGUUGAGGAUAAUGUUGACGCGUGUUUGCAUGUCACUUUCCCUAGCACAGCGACUCAAAUACAUAUCUGUUGAUUAACUUGUGUGGGGCUGUGCACGACUGUGGUCUUCUAGUUUACGAAGGCUAACGGGGACAAUGUUUUCUGUUGAGAUCUGUCUCUGAGCUUCAGGAGGAGCACGUAGUGGGCCCUCCACACUUCACAAAUAUUCAUGGAUUAAAUGGAAUUCAGUGUUAGUUUCAAUACAGGCAUCCUGCUGAUAGUAAAGAUCAUUAAACUUUAAAAUGUGUUCCCAAGGAACACUGUGGCAUCUUCAUUUGAGAACAUCUUUUAAAUUGGAUAGCUAAUUAUCUGUUUAGAAUAAAAGCAGAGAAAUAGUUCUGAGUACUUCUUAAGGACUCAUACAGUUCUUGAUUUCACUUGUGUGCUUUGCUUGUGUGUAAGAAGAGUGCUAGUUCCGUAACUCAGGGUGAAAUAACACACGCACAAAAGAUGAGUAGGUAGACAGAGUCGUCUUAUUUGAAAUCAUUAUUUUUCUCUCAUCAAAAAGUAUAUGAUUGUCCUAGUUCUGCACUAUCAAAUUUCCUCAUAAAAAAUGGUCACAUAUGUUCCUGAGAGUACCCAACAUGUAUUACAAACCGACUGUUGUCCCCAGGAGAAAUCGAUUCUGGAGAAGAGAGGUUAGAAUAAAACUUGGGCUUUUCUUGAAAAAGGAACUGCAGAGAGGACAUAUUGUUUCAGAACAGAUAAUGCCAAUAAGAUGUAAUAGUGUCAAGCUGAAAGAUGAUUAUAAUUGUACCAUUGGAGAAACUUUCUGUUCUUCUUUUUCAGGUGGAUGGAUACUAUGGUAGACAUUUCAGGGAAGACCACCUUUCCAGGAUCCAUGAUCUCCCUCCUGCUACUAUCUCCAUUCUCAGCCAGGAGGUUUAGGUAAUAGUGACCCUCCCUCCAGGUACAUACUUAGUUGGCUCUCAUCGGGUUAGUCUAAUUGGUAUAUCCCAGCCUCCCUGUCCUCGUAGUAAGAGUGUGUGACACAACAGGUCAAUGAGUGUGUGAAUUGCAGAAGAGAACUUCUCUUCCUCUGGAUGGGGUAGGAAGGAGAUGUGAGGGCUGACACUGCUGUAGCCAUUAGCUACAAGGAGGGAGAGCCCAGAUCCUGCCAGAUGAAACUUACUAGCUCUUUGAUCUUUAGUUUCCUCAUCUUUAAAAUGAAGAUGAUAAUAUUACUUUCCUGUAGGUUUGUUGAAAUUAAGUUGUUUAACUUGUAUAAGAUGCUUAGGGUAGUAAGCACCAAUAAACGAUACUUAUUGGUAGAUAUGGUAUAUUUCCUCUAUUUUAAGGGAAAAAUAAACCCAUCAUUUCUCCUCCCUGAGCUCAAUAAUGUUUUGGACCUAAGCUGUUUGGCUAAUUGUAUUUAAUCUCAUAAAUUAUUUUCUUUUCUAUUACCUCCAUACUUCAGCGAUCUCUGCAAAACCUUCAUUGAAUUUUAGACUUCCCAGAAAAUUGGGUUUUCCAGUAAUACAUUGUCCACAUCAGCAUUUAAAUAAUGAAAGGUCCAGGACUGAUCUCUAAUCAGAGAGCCAUCUCUGGACUUCUUGUACCUCCGAAAUGCCUGAUUCUUCUUGAACUGUAGUUUUGGGAAUAGUUUUGCAGAGAAGGAAG
ensembl:lincRNA